GACAGAGGGUGCAAACGUUGUUCGGAAUUACUGGGCGUAAAGCGCGUGUAGGCUGCUCUGCAAGUCGGAUGUGAAAGCCCUGGGCUCAACCUAGGAAGUGCACUCGAAACUGCAGAGCUUGAGUCUCGGAGAGGAUCGCGGAAUUCUCGGUGUAGAGGUGAAAUUCGUAGAUAUCUGGAGGAACACCGGUGGCGAAGGCGGCAUCCUGGACCGAGAUUGACGCUGAGGCGCGAAAGCUAGGGGAGCAAACGGG
rnacentral:rRNA from 1 species